rnacentral:rRNA from 1 species
UGCGAGCGAACAGGGAAGAGCCCAGCACCGAAUCCCCGCGGCCCGAUAUCGGACGCCGGGAAAUGGGGGGUUAGGGGAGGAUCCGUUUAUCCCGAGGUCGUGCGGUGCGUCCAAGUCCUUCUUGAACGGGGCCACAGCCCAUAGAGGGUGCCAGGCCCGUAGCGACCGCUGCCGAUCGCGGGAGGAUCUCUCCUCAGAGUCGGGUUGCUUGAGAGUGCAGCCCUAAGUGGGUGGUAAACUCCAUCUAAGGCUAAAUAUGACCACGAGACCGAUAGCGAACAAGUACCGUGAGGGAAAGUUGAAAAGCACUUUGAAGAGAGAGUUCAAGAGUACGUGAAACCGUUCAGGGGUAAACCUGAGAAGCCCGAAAGGUCGAAUGGGGAAAUUCAUUCGCGUUUCGGCUGCCGGCGUGGUACGGUCGAGUGACGGUCGGCGUACGCGUCGUCCGCGCCUUCCGUUCUUCGAACCGGCGUCGAACGCGUGCACUUUUCCCCUAGUAGGACGUCGCGAUCCGUUGGGUGUCGGUCUACGGCUCGCGGUGGAGCCCGUGCGGUCGCUUCGCGGCGUAUCGCACGGACCCGCGGUGUCCCGACCGACUCGCUCGACGGUAUACUGAUGGCGCGGGGCCGCUACUUAUCCUGUGAAGCGUUCGGC